rnacentral:rRNA from 1 species
GGCCUACGGGUGGCUGCAGUGGGGAAUAUUGGACAAUGGGCGCAAGCCUGAUCCAGCCAUGCCGCGUGAGUGAUGAAGGCCCUAGGGUUGUAAAGCUCUUUCACCGGUGAAGAUAAUGACGGUAACCGGAGAAGAAGCCCCGGCUAACUUCGUGCCAGCAGCCGCGGUAAUACGAAGGGGGCUAGCGUUGUUCGGAAUUACUGGGCGUAAAGCGCACGUAGGCGGAUAUUUAAGUCAGGGGUGAAAUCCCGGGGCUCAACCCCGGAACUGCCUGUGAUACUGGGUAUCUAGAGUCCAGAAGAGGUGAGUGGAAUUCCGAGUGUAGAGGUGAAAUUCGUAGAUAUUCGGAGGAACACCAGUGGCGAAGGCGGCUCACUGGUCUGGUACUGACGCUGAGGUGCGAAAGCGUGGGGAGCAAACAGGAUUAGAUACCCCAGUAGUC